ACGCUGGCGGCAGGCCUAACACAUGCAAGUCGAGCGCGCCUUUCGGGGUGAGCGGCGGACGGGUUAGUAACGCGUGGGAACGUACCCUUUUCUGCGGAAUAGCCUCUGGAAACGGAGAGUAAUACCGCAUACGCCCUUUGGGGGAAAGAUUUAUCGGAGAAGGAUCGGCCCGCGUUAGAUUAGAUAGUUGGUGGGGUAACGGCCUACCAAGUCUACGAUCUAUAGCUGGUUUUAGAGGAUGAUCAGCAACACUGGGACUGAGACACGGCCCAGACUCCUACGGGAGGCAGCAGUGGGGAAUCUUGGACAAUGGGCGCAAGCCUGAUCCAGCCAUGCCGCGUGAGUGAAGAAGGCCUUAGGGUCGUAAAGCUCUUUCGCCUGUGAUGAUAAUGACAGUAGCAGGUAAAGAAACCCCGGCUAACUCCGUGCCAGCAGCCGCGGUAAUACGGAGGGGGUUAGCGUUGUUCGGAAUUACUGGGCGUAAAGCGCGCGUAGGCGGAUUGGAAAGUUGGGGGUGAAAUCCCGAGGCUCAACCUCGGAACUGCCUCCAAAACUCCCAGUCUAGAGUUCGAGAGAGGUGAGUGGAAUUCCAAGUGUAGAGGUGAAAUUCGUAGAUAUUUGGAGGAACACCAGUGGCGAAGGCGGCUCACUGGCUCGAUACUGACGCUGAGGUGCGAAAGUGUGGGGAGCAAACAGGAUUAGAUACCCUGGUAGUCCACACCGUAAACGAUGAAUGCCAGUCGUCGGGUAGUAUACUAUUCGGUGACACACCUAACGGAUUAAGCAUUCCGCCUGGGGAGUACG
rnacentral:rRNA from 1 species